rnacentral:lncRNA from 1 species
AGUAUUCUGCUAGCAGCCUUCAGAUGAGGAUGUAGAACUCUCAGCUCCUGCACCAUGCCUGCCUGGAUGCUGUCAUGUUCCUGCCUUGAUAAUAGACUGAACCUAUACAAGGGCGAGCACAGGCAGAAGCAGAGACGUCUGGGAGAAUCCAGAGUGGACAGGACCAUGACUGACCAACUAGCUCUGCCCAAAGCUGGGCUGUGAACUGAAUUGGGCAGAACUGGAAUUUAUGAUUUGAGCACUUCCACACAAACCUCCUUCACACCACCCUGCUCUGCAGUGAAAGUCUAAGAAGCUGAGAGGAACUAAGUCCUGAGAGGGAACCAGUCCCUGAAGCACGUGGUGAGCAUAAGAAAAACAACAAAGCUUCAUCCAGCAUCCACAGCACCAGCACACGUGACUGCUGCAGCGGCCACUGAGAGCGAGAGGGAAAUAUCAGCCCCGGGGAAGAGUAGGAAGCGGUGGCCACAAGGCAGCCUGAAUGCUGGUUUAUCACUUUGGAAUUCAGCUCCACUCAAGCUUUUCAGGAGAUGGGCAGAAGGCAGCAGCAGAGUCUUUUCCAAACUGUAACACGAGUGCCCGUAGUCGGAUUUCCAAGCCUGUCUGAACCUUGGGAACCUGGGGCUCCAUGUCUCUCUCAGCACUCUGGACUUCUGAACUCCUACCAGAAUAUCUCUUUAAGCCCUAAUUACAGCAUCCACAGCUUCUCUGACCUGCAGCUUCAAACUUUUCCAUGAUCUAGUUCCAUAAGUCUAUGAACCAUAUGAGUCGGGUUUAUCACAGUGACAGCCCUACUUCUGGUACUAUUUUUUUGUAUUAGUUACUUAGCUUGUUGGUGUCACAAAAUACCUAAUAAAAGCAAGCUACAAGAGGAAGGGCAAGAAAAGAAAAAAAAAAA